rnacentral:rRNA from 1 species
CUGCAUCGAAAUAAGACACCGGCCCUUCUUCUCAAGCUUGAUAUUGCUAGAGCUUUUGAUAGUGUAUCUUGGGAGUACAUGAUGGAGCUUCUUCAGCAGCUAGGUUUCUUCCCUCGCUAGAUAGACUGGAUUGCGCUCCUCCUGUCCACUUACUCCUCGGCAUGUCUGCUCAAUGGAGAUCCUAGAAAGAGUUUUAUGCACCAGCGAGGCCGACAGGGAGAUACACUCUCACCGCUCCUCUUCAUCCUCUGCACUGAUCCCCUUCACCGCUUGCUCGAGGUUGCUUCCAGGUCGGGAGUGUUGAACACCAUCUUGGGCAGGGUGGUGCAGAUGCGCACAAGCCUGUAUGCCGACGAUGUCGUCAUCUUCAUCAACCCCGUGCGGUUCGAGAUAGAUAAUCUCUUAGAGCUUCUCCACCUGUUUGGCGACAACGAGCUUAUGCGUUAA